rnacentral:rRNA from 1 species
AGACAGCAGUCGCCGCGGGAAUACGUAGGUGGCAAGCGUUGUCCGGAAUUAUUGGGCGUAAAGGGCUCGCAGGCGGUUUCUUAAGUCUGAUGUGAAAGCCCCCGGCUCAACCGGGGAGGGUCAUUGGAAACUGGGAAACUUGAGUGCAGAAGAGGAGAGUGGAAUUCCACGUGUAGCGGUGAAAUGCGUAGAGAUGUGGAGGAACACCAGUGGCGAAGGCGACUCUCUGGUCUGUAACUGACGCUGAGGAGCGAAAGCGUGGGGAGCGAACAGGAUUAGAUACCCGCGUAGUCCCUGUCUCUUAUAA